CACGCUGUAAACGAUGAUCACUCGCUGUUUGCGAUAUACAGCAAGCGGCUGAGCGAAAGCAAUAAGUGAUCCACCUGGGGAGUACGAUCGCAAGGUUGAAACUCAAAGGAAUUGACGGGGGCCCGCACAAGCGGAGGAACAUGUGGUUUAAUUCGAUGAUACGCGAGGAACCUUACCUGGGCUUAAAUGGGGAGUGACGUUAUCAGAGAUGGUAAUUUCUUCGGACACUCUUCAAGGUGC
rnacentral:rRNA from 1 species